rnacentral:lncRNA from 1 species
GCAUGUGUCAUAUAUUUUAUUAUUUUUUUUAUAAACACAUUUAGGAUAUGCCGGCUUGGAUUGAAGAUAUGAUUAUAUUGUCAAACAAAAGUAAAGGCACUUUAGAGUCGUUAGGUUUAGAAAACCUACCAGAUUUCAACGAAUGCAAAAAGAUUAGCAAUUUUCAGGAACAAAUUCUAUGCAUAGUUGAAGCACUUGAAGACAUUAAGGACACUUACCAAAAUGCUAAAGACAUAACUUCACUAACAGCAAGAGUUUUGGCUGGAGGAAGACUAGCCGUACGGGCUUUAUCAAGACUGCAAACUUUGGCCUCAACCAUUGAUAACAAACAGCUAAUGAAAAAAAUAGGAACACCAAUGGCUACACUGAUAUUACUGCAAAGAGAAACUACAUCAGAUAGAACCAGGUGGUUAUGUGGAUCUAUUUUAACUCUGUUAACUGAUUUACCAGUAGUAUCAGACAUAGCGGAUGUAAAUACAGGGUCGUAUGGUCACGUAAACGUCAUCAUGCCCAGACAGUCUAGAAUUAGAAAUCCUGAUAGAACAAUUUUGAGGCUAAGAGAAGGUGUUUCACCUUCAGAUCUAAUAAAUGGAUAUACAUCAAGUUAAAAAAAAGAAAAAAAAAAAAAGACCUACUUUGAAAAAUAAGUAUACAUUCCUCUUUCACUUACAUAUUUAUGUAUAUAUAUUUUUGUGUGUACUUGUAUAUAUUUAAAUAUACAAUUUAAACUUGUAAGUUUUCGUAUAUAUUUUUAUCUAUACAUGCCUUGAUAUAUAUACAUAUUUUUUUCAGUUCUAGCGAAUUAUACAAUAUAAACCUUUUCCGAAGGAUUGUUUUAUUUUUUUUUUAUAAAUUGUUUUGUUUUAUUUUUUUAUUUAAAAAGAAAAAGUAAAAACACAUUGUUUCACAUUUUUAAAAUAAAAAUGUUUAAUUUUUUUAAUUUUUUGUUUUA